GAUGAAGAACGUAGCGAAACGCGAUAGUUAAUGUGAAUUGCAGAAUUCAGUGAAUCAUCGAGUCUUUGAACGCACAUUUCGCCCCCUGGUAUUCCGGGGGGCAUGCCUGUCCGAGCGUCAUUGCUGCCCAUCAAGCGCGGCUUGUGUGUUGGGCCGCCGUCCGCCUUCCCCCCCGGGGGGAGGGGGACGGGCCCGAAAGGCAGCGGCGGCACCGCGUCCGGUCCUCGAGCGUAUGGGGCUCUGUCACCCGCUCUGGAGGCCCGGCCGGCGCCCGCCGACCCCCAACCUUCUUCUAACCAGGUUGACCUCGGAUCAGGUAGGGAUACCCGCUGAACUUAAGCAUAUCAAUAAGCGGAGGA
rnacentral:misc_RNA from 1 species